rnacentral:lncRNA from 1 species
GUGGUGGUUCUGGAUUUAUUUAUUCAUAUUUAUCAUCAUUUUAUUCUUCCUUUCUGAUGAUAUAAACUUCUUCAUUUAUUAUUUCAUUUUUGUUUAGAUAACUUCCUUUAGCCAUGCAUUUAGGAGAGAUCUACCUGUAACAAGAUAUCUUAUUUUAACCUCGUCUGAAAAUGUCUUUGAUUUUCCCUUCAUUGCUGAAGGAUAUUUUCACUAGGAAGUUAAGUUGGUGCCUCUCUUCUUUUAGCACUUGAAUAACAAUGUGCUACUUUCUUCUAGUUUCCAUUUUCUGAUGAGAAAUCUGCUGCCAUUCAAAUUUUUUUAUAGAGAAAAGGUAUUAUUUAUUCUCUUGCUGACUUGUGUUCUUCUUUGUUUUAAAUUUUCAGAAGUAUAAUUGAACAUGUCUUGGCAUUGGAUUCUUUGAGUUUAUCCUGUUGGAAAUUUCUCAGAUUUGUGUACUGUAGAUUUAUUUCUUUUGAUGAAUUUGGGACGUUUUCAGACAUUAUUUCUUCUAAUACUUUUUCAGUUCUGCCCUCUUUCUUCUCUCCUUACAUACUGAUGACACAGAUUUUACAUUUUUUAAAUGUGAUUCUCUGUUCACUUUUAUUUUUCCAAUUUAUUAUCUCUGUUGUUGAUAUCGAUGAUUUGUAUUGUUUUGUCUUCCAGUUCAUUUACUCUUUCCUCUCUCCCACCCAUUCUAUUCAUGAGUCUAUCCAUUGAGCUUUUUACUUCAGUUUUUAUUUUUUAGUUCUGGAGUUCCCGUCAUGGCUCAGUGGUUAACAAAUCCAACUAGGAACCAUGAUGUUGCAGGUUUGAUCCCUGGCCUUGCUCAGUGGGUUAAGGAUCUGGUGUUGCUGUGAGCUGUGGUGUAGGUCUCAUAUGAAGCUUGGAAUCCAUGAAGCUUGGAUUCCAUGCUGUGGCUCUGCUGUAGGCCGGCGGCUAUAGCUCUGAGUAGACCCCUAGGCCUGGGAACCUCCAUAUGCUGUGGUGUGGCCCUAGAAAACACACACACACAAAAGGGUAUUUUUUUAGUUCUAAAAUGUUUAUUUUGGUGUCAUUUACAUCAGUUCUUUGCUACGACUUUGUAUUUUUUCAUUUGUUUCAAGUGUGUUUUUAAUUGCUUGUUGAAGCAUUUUUAUCAAGGCUGCUUUAAAAUCUUUGUUGUAUAAAUCAGGUAAGUCUAAUAUCUCUGUCAUGUUUAUGGAUGAAUAAUCAUGUUUAAAAUAUUGAUAGUUUUUUUUUCCAUGUUAUAAUAUGAUAGGAACUAAUCUAACACUUUGUAUGUAUUGGUUUAUUCCUAGUGCAGCUCCAUGAAGUAGGUACGAUUACUACUACCAUUUUCAAUGUUGGGUGACCCUUUCCCUUCCAAAUUCCAGUCUUUGACUUGGUGUUCUGGUAUAUGCAAAAAAAGAAAGAAUAUGACUAUAUAAAUUUCCAAGAAGUGAAAAUAAGCACAUCAUGUGCAUUAAAUUCCUACAUUAAAAGAAAAAAAAAGUUACACUGGAAGUAAUUCUAAAAAUAAAUAGACAGCACAUUAGUGAAUAUUAUGAUUCCUUUUAUAGCCCCUCUCUCCCCCAAGAGAAUCUCAUAGUGGGUUGGGAUGAUAAAACAGAUAUAUACUUUUGGUUAGGUUGAUACUGUCUUGAAAAAUCUAUGGGUGGGUAUUGAUUGGCUUAAGUCAAUCAGAAGAAUGUCAUCUUUUUACUACAGUAGUUGGCUCAAGGAGGGAUCUAUGACUUGUGUUAUUUCACUCAUCCUAAAGUCCAAGACUUGUGCCUGAAGGUGCAGAAAGAUAAAUUCUUUUGUCUUCUAGAUGGUAUUGCCCAGAGCUGCAGCCUUUUAGCUAAUUUAAAGAAUGAAAGCCUGAGAAUAAAGGUAGAGAGGCAGAGUCAAGAAAACAGCAGGGAAAGGAACCCUGAACUCUGAUGAAACUCAGGUGAAUCUAACUCUCUCUCUAGAAUUUUCAGUUAAAUGAGUCAAUAAAUUAUAGGUAAAAAAUUAAGUAAUCCCAAAUGGCCCCAAGAAUAAAGUCUUUUUUUCUUAAUGCUUUAUUUUAGAGACAAUGCUUCUACAAACUGCUUAUCAGAACCAAUCUUGAAGCUUUUUCAAACAGUCUUUAGUCUUAGCCUUUAGAAGGCCUAAGUAUAAUUAAAUGUCAAGUCCUGAAACAUAUCAGCUUGGCUGAUAGGGCUGUAUUUAAAAAAAGCAUAAUGAGAAAUUUAUAAUGUGCUAUAGCCUUUACUGCACUAAUUUUAUGGACAUCUGUGCCUCACAUUUUAGAUUUUCUGUAUUUUUGUAAAGAUAAUACAAUAUCUUGUAGAAAUUCAAACUAUCAUUGAUAUAAUUUAUAGGUUCUGUCCAACCCCUGAUAAACUGGCCUAUAGUCCCUUCACUUAGAGGCAUUCAUUGUUAUUAUUUACUUGAUUAAGCACAAAAAAUAUUUUAUACCUAUACAAACAUAUAUUUCUGUGCAUAUAUAUAUCUGUCCACUUUUGUGUAUGAAAAUGAUUACUAGCUAUACAUAACAUUUUCCACUUUUAUUUAACAAUACAUUGUUAUUUUCCAGACAUUCCAUAUUAGUACUUAUUGGUCAUUUGUUCAUUAUAUAUGAACUUUCUAAUUUAUAAUCAAUCCUCUUUUUAGGGGUGUUAUGUUUGUUUUCAGUAUUUGCUAUUAUAAACAAUAUUUUAAUAAAUUGUCUUAUACAUACUUCUUUGAAAAUAUACUAAUAUCUGUUAUAAAUUUCUAAAAUUGAUAACCAUAGUGUAACUGCAUUUUGAAUUUUAAUAGAUAUUGCAAAAUUGCCUUCUAGAGAUUCUAUUUUUUCUAUACUCUCCCCAAUUCAAUUUUGUUAAAAUUUUACCAUCUGAUAGACAAAGACU